rnacentral:lncRNA from 1 species
UUUGACUUGGGUAACGAGAAAAGAGGAAUACACUUGAGAGAGUCAUUUCGCAAGUAUUGAUUUUACUAGCUAAUAGUAUGAGAAUGAGUUGUUUGUACUUAGACCUUAAGCAAAUCAAGUCAACUACAAUCAAUGAGAGUAAAUUUGGCAAGAAUUUGCAAGCCAUGCACUUAGGCACUUUUUGGAUGAACCAAAAGUUGCAAAGUGUAGUAAUGGAUAUCAACAAAGUCCUGCUGCAAAUGAAUAUGUGCCCCAUGACAAUAAGUCAUCAAGGAAUGCUAUUGUUUUCCACGAUAAAUAU